ACGUGCGGAAGGGAGAGGCCGGCAGAGCCGGCGCCGAAGGAGCAACCGCCCCGGAAACUCUCAGGCAAAAGGACCUUCCCGCGACA
rnacentral:ncRNA from 2 species